ACCGAGAACUGACGACGAGUCCUCUUUUGGACGAAGUGGUUGAUGCCAUGCUUCCAGGAAAAACUUCUAAGCUUCAGAUAUGUUCAAACCGUACCCCAAACCGACACAGGUGGUCAGGUAGAGAAUACCAAGGCGCUUGAGAGAACUCGGGUAAAGGAACUAGGCAAAAUGGUGCCGUAACUUCGGGAGAAGGCACGCUGGUGGUAGGUGAGACCCCUUGCGGGUGGAGCUGACGCCAGUCGAAGAUACCAGGCCCCUGCGACUGUUUAUUAAAAACACAGCACUGUGCAAACACGAAAGUGGACGUAUACGGUGUGACGCCUGCCCGGUGCCGGAAGGUUAAUUGA
rnacentral:rRNA from 1 species